GUUGGUAUAGCUCAGUGGUAGAGCUCAUGCUCAGCAUGCAUGAGGUCCCAGGUUCAAUUCCCAGUACCUCCA
rnacentral:tRNA from 1 species